UGGGGAAUAUUGGACAAUGGGCGAAAGCCUGAUCCAGCCAUGCCGCGUGUGUGAAGAAGGCCUUCGGGUUGUAAAGUACUUUCAGCGGGGAGGAAGGCGAUAAGGUUAAUAACCUUGUCGAUUGACGUUACCCGCAGAAGAAGCACCGGCUAACUCCGUGCCAGCAGCCGCGGUAAUACGGAGGGUGCAAGCGUUAAUCGGAAUUACUGGGCGUAAAGCGCACGCAGGCGGUCUGUCAAGGCGGAUGUGAAAUCCCCGGGCUCAACCUGGGAACUGCAUUCGAAACUGGCAGGCUAGAGUCUUGUAGAGGGGGGUAGAAUUCCAGGUGUAGCGGUGAAAUGCGUAGAGAUCUGGAGGAAUACCGGUGGCGAAGGCGGCCCCCUGGACAAAGACUGACGCUCAGGUGCGAAAGCGUGGGGAGCAAACA
rnacentral:rRNA from 1 species